rnacentral:rRNA from 1 species
GAUGAACGCUGGCGGCGUGCCUAAUACAUGCAAGUCGAGCGAACGGACGAGAAGCUUGCUUCUCUGAUGUUAGCGGCGGACGGGUGAGUAACACGUGGAUAACCUACCUAUAAGACUGGGAUAACUUCGGGAAACCGGAGCUCAUACCGGAUAAUAUUUUGAACCGCAUGGUUCAAAAGUGAAAGACGGUCUUGCUGUCACUUAUAGAUUGAUCCGCGCUGCAUUAGCUAGUUGGUAAGGUAACGGCUUACCAAGGCAACGAUGCAUAGCCGACCUGAGAGGGUGAUCGGCCACACUGGAACUGAGACACGGACCAGACUCCUACGGGAGGCAGCAGUAGGGAAUAUUCCGCAAUGGGCGAAAGCAUGACGGAGCAAAGCCGCGUGAGUGAUGAAGGUCUUAGGAUCGUAAAACUCUGUUAUUAGGGAAGAACAUAUGUGUAAGUAACUGUGCACAGAGUGACGGUAACUAAUAAGAAAGCAACGGCUAACUACGUG